rnacentral:rRNA from 1 species
UACGUAGGGUGCGAGCGUUGCCCGGAUUUAUUGGGCGUGAAAGGGCGCGUAGGCGGCCACGCACGUCCGUUGUGAAAUCGCCCGGCUCAACUGGGCGGGGUCGGCGGAUACGGCGUGGCUGGAGCAAGCUAGGGGGCAAUGGAAUUCCCGGUGUAGUGGUGGAAUGCGUAGAUAUCGGGAGGAACACCAGUGGCGAAGGCGGUUGCCUGGAGCUUUGCGUGACGCUGAGGCGCGAAAGCGUGGGGAGCGAACAGG